ACAACCAUUUCACAUAUAAUGUGGUAUUGGCAGAUGUGGGUGGCACUUGCGGUGCCCCUCCCACUCAGCUGAAAUGGAUAGGCCGGAGAAGCAAACCAUGGCAACAGACUCACAGAGUGUUAUACAAUGCUAAACUAGUCUGAAGUAGGUUGAAAUCCGUGUCACUGGACCCCCCGUUCAUGAAAACCAUAGA
rnacentral:misc_RNA from 2 species